CCCAGGAGGGUAACCUUGACUAUAAGAAGCCCCUGUUGAGAUCGCUCGCUGUGAUUCUGCCCAUCAGAGACAAGUCCUUCACAAUGAAACCACAUCUGUCUCUUGAUGAAGCGUGGCAGCUAGCAGUUCCUCAGCCUUCCUGUGUCCCAGGAAUGGGCUAAGGUACUCUGCAGGCCAUGCAGGCCUGCUUAGAACAAGGUGACAAUAAGGUCAGAGUGGAAGCAGCUCACAACGCCUCCCUCUUCCAGGCAGCUGCCCUUGGGCCGUCAUCCAAGUUGGCAGCAAGAAACUUAACCCGGCCAAGUAAGAAAGUCAGGUGUGUGAGCACGCUCGACAAAGCCCGGCCGUCAUGGCCCAGUCUUCAGCAAAUGUUCCGAAGACUCAUGGCCUCCUGACCCAAUCUAUGUGGUGAACUCGGCAGAGCCGAGCCCAGAGGCAAGGCCACCACCCUCUCCUGCCUCCAGCCAAAUUCAGAGGUAGCUGCCAUCCUUGAGUUAUUUUGUCUAAUUUCAUUUUGAGCGUGCCUGCGGGAGGGUGUGUGGCAUGUGGAUGGCCUGCGUAUGUGAGUUCAAGAGCACACAUAUCUCAGCACGUAUAUGGGACUCAAGAGGGCCAUUUUUAGGAGGUUUUGAGGUGGGAUCUCUCUUGUUUCUUUGUUGCUCUCUACACUGAGCUAGCUGGCCCACAAGCUUCUAGAUAACAUUCCUUUCUCUACCUUCUUCAACCUUUGUCACGGGAAUGGUGGAAUUACAGAUGUGGUCUGCUGCAUCUGCCUUUUUUUCUUUUUUUAAUAUGGGUUCAGGAGAUCAAACUCAGGCCAUAAGACUUCCAUAGUAAGCACUUUUACCCAGUGAGCUAUCUUCCUGGCUCCCUCAUCUUUCUUGAGGAUGCUCGCUCAAGCAGUAACCAUGUGGCAUUUGACAAUGCCCCAGAUGGUGUGGUCCUUUUUUGCUGAGACAGGUUUUGUAGAAUCUGUAAGGGAAAGGUAUGGAUAGGCAAGAGUCAGAACACCAGAUCAGCAAGAGAGAGCUCUGAAGACUGGGAAAUCAUGAGCAAGGGGUGGGAACAGAUGCUGGGGUCUGAGCCCAAGGUCAUCAUUUAGAGAUGACAGUUGGAAGCAGCCGGAGCUGAGAAAUGGGAAAGAGGUAGUGAGCCUGGCAGUCUGGCUGGAAGCUUGAGAUCUUAGAGUGACGUAGAGGGAGUUGGCAAGGGUUAAGAUGGGGAUCCUACACCAGUAGACAUGAUAAAAUGGUGACUGUUUCAUUAUAGAAACAAGGUUAGCAGGGAUGUCAGCUAAAGAUUACAUGGAGAGCAGAAUGAGGCUCACAAGGACCCAAGAGCUGAUGGUGGGACCCAGUAGGACCUAUGUGCAGUCCUCUGGGAUUUGUGCUCUGUAGGACCAAGUCCAGAACUUCCUAGAAGGUACGCUUGCACCUAAUUUGUGUAGCAUUGGCAAUAAGAGAAGCCAGUGUUUGGAGUCGGAGAGCCUCCUCCACUGUCAGGAGACCCAGGAGACCCAGGAGAGAAACCCAGAUUUCCCCUGCACCUGAUGCUCCUUGGGGUCAGGCAUAUGAGGCAGCUGCUGAAAAAGCACCCCAACAGUGGGGUGCUUACUGUCUGGCAUGGAACUACCCAGAGGAGUACCAUGGAACCCAAGAGAGUAGAGGCAAGCGACACACAGAAUAAUUAAGAGCUUAAGUGAUGACUUCAAUUUCUUAUUAAGAUGAGAUCAUUCCCCAAAUAAAGUUACAUCUCUUUGGCACCUGUCAAUCAUAACACAUGCUGAGGUUGGUAUGUUUUUGCCUCUCCCACCAAUGCUCAUGUGGAAAUCUGUCAUGGCAGGACUAAGAGGUGGGGCAGGUUCAGAGAAAUGAAUGCCUGUCCCUUGGAAUUAGAUCAGUUGUUUUGGUUGUGAGUAGUUGGCCUCGCAGUACUCAUUACUGAUUGUGUACACAAACGCACACACAUGCAUGCACACAUGUGCACACACAUGCAUGCACACAUGGGCACACAAAUGUCCACACACGCACACAUGUGCUCACACACACACACACACACACACACACUUUUCACAUUUGUUCUUUGCCUUUCUGAUUUGAUUUGUCACUUGUCACCCUCAUUACAUACAAGAACUAUGAGCCAAAUAAAGUUUUCUUCUUUGUCAGUUUCCUGUCUGUGCUCAAGGACACAGUCUUUAACCUGUGUGCUGGCUCGUUUUAUGUCAACCUGACACCGGCUAGACUCAUUUUGAAAGAGAGAACCUCGGGAAAAUGCCCCCACCAGACUGGCCAAAGGCUGAGUCUGUAGUAAAUUUUCUGGAUGGUAGAUGUGAAUGCAGGCCCUGCUCACUGUGAGCAAUGCCACCCCUGGGUUGGUGGUCCUGGGCUCUAUAAGAAAGCAAGCUGAGCAAACCGUGGAAAGCAAGCCAGUAGGCAGCACCCCUCCAUGGCCUCUGCAUCAGCUCCUGCCUCCAGGCUCCUGCCUUAAGCUUCUGCCCUGACUUCCUUCCGGAUGAUGGACAACAGGAAAUAAGGCCUUUCUUCUUCAUGGUGCUUUUGGUCGUGGCGUUUUAUCACAGUACUAGAAACAUAACCAACUAAGACAACCUCUAAAGGAGGAGCAGAGUUCUGCCCCCUGCUGUGGUUUUGGUCUUCUCUGACAGCUUGGGUUGUGUGACACGCUUCUUCCAGUCCAACUUACAGUGGUUCUCACCCUUCCUCCCGCUGUGACCCUUUAAUACAGCUCCUCAGGUCUGGAUGUCCUUCCUCCAACCAUACAAUUCUUUUCACUGCUACUUCAUAACUGUAAUUUUGUUACUGUUACGACUGUCACAUAAUGGUCACGACCUUCUUGAGAACCUCUACUCUAAGUUGAAACACUUUUCUCCGGAGGGAGAGGAGGCUCGACAGGCUGGUGAGGGGAACAAAAGGUCACUGUCUGGAAGAAGAGAAACCCGAAAGAUUCUUGAGGUUCUCUCCCCAGCCACAUAACGAGAGUAAACACUCUUGGAGACUCUGACUCCACUAACUGUGGAAAGACAGGUUCUGGCUGGGGAGUUGCCUGCACGCUGCCUGUGUAGAGAGCUUCCUGUGGCUGCGGUUUGAGAGUUGGCGCCACGUUGGCGUGGACUUUCUGGGGAAGCAGCAGCUUUUGUGUUAUUCCUUCUCCUUGUAGGUAACCUCUCACCCACAGGGCUUUUAAUAACCAUACCCCGCCACCCCUCCCCACAAAUCCUCAUUGGUUUCCUAUAUUGGACAUUGGUAUAAUCACUCUUUGAUCGGCUACAGGCUCCAUUUCUGGGAUGAGUGACACGUGUGUGUUCCAUCUCCCCAGGAAACAUUGUCACCUAGCAACUUCAUAGGGAUGCACACUGGGGAAAAAGCCUCUGGGCAUGUCUACAUGAACCUUCCAGAUUGGGUUGCUCGCUAUAUGAAGACUUAGUGUGGCUCAUGGGGGUUCUGAGUCCCUUUGGCACUUUCUGCCUGGUGAACCCUAGUCAUAAGUGGGAGGCUUGCCAGGAUGCCAUUGGAGUCAGUCCUGGAUGCCUGCUGAGGACUUUGGCUCCUAAUGAGAAGUGGUUUCUGCCAACUGAGCAUCACUGGGAAGUGAUGAGCCCUCUGGGAGUGAGGAGCUCACCAGUGGAUCCUGGGGACCCCCAUUCAUUACCUGAUGCCCUGGGACCACCAUUACCUAAUGCCAAGGGGCCAGAGGGGUGACUCUAGGCCAAAGGGUCUCUGGCAAGUCCUAGGGCAGCACGCAAGUGUUGAAACUUGCCCUUAAGACUUGGCACCUACUUGUGUCAAUCAAGUCAGGAGGAGGAUGGGUGUGGAUUUCCAGACUUGUUGCCAAGAAACGUUUGCAUCUGCCCCUCAUCCUGCUGCUGCUGCUGCAGACAGCUCAGCUGUGCCCCGGCCUGCACAGGUCCUGAUGGAUGGCUCUCAUGCUAAAGGAUCUCUUCUCUUCUCUUCUCUUCUCUUCUCUUCUC
rnacentral:lncRNA from 1 species